rnacentral:rRNA from 1 species
UACGGAGGGGGCUAGCGUUGUUCGGAAUUACUGGGCGUAAAGCGCGCGUAGGCGGCUUUGUAAGUUAGAGGUGAAAGCCCGGAGCUUAACUCCGGAACCGCCUUUAAGACUGCAUCGCUAGAAUCGUGGAGAGGUGAGUGGAAUUCCGAGUGUAGAGGUGAAAUUCGUAGAUAUUCGGAAGAACACCAGUGGCGAAGGCGACUCACUGGACACGUAUUGACGCUGAGGUGCGAAAGCGUGGGGAGCAAUCAGG